CUAUGAAGGUGGAAGUGAAAAACAAAGUUCGUCUUGUAAGAUCGAUGACGUUGAGCUGUGUUACAUUCUGUAUUGAAACAGUAACAGAGCGACCAUACUUAAGGUUCACGAGGAAUAUGUUCCCAUAUGCAUGGAGAUUGAUCUGCAUGGAUUAUCAGGCCCUUAACGAUGGAACACCUGAUGUGAGGAAUGCAGCUUUCUCAGCUUUGGCGGCUAUUUCCAAGAUGGUUGGCAUGAGACCUUUGGAAAAGUCUCCAGAAAAAUCUGGAUGAUGUCAGACAAAAGAAGUAUCUGAAAUGAUUGGGGGUCGACGGGGGAUCCUUAUGCUCUUCCAAACUCAGGUGUUGUUCAACCUUCUAGAGCAGUUUUGACUAUGAGUUUCCUCUGAACUAGUAGAAUGGAUAUGAAGCAAACCACUUGCGGAUCUUUGCUGCAGCAACUGCAGAAAUGAAUCUUUUUUCCUGCAGCAAAUUUUGGAUAAAGUUUGUGAAAAUUAGGAAGAGCGGGACAAAAUUCUUCUUCAAUUGGAUCAGGAGUGCUUGGAUGUGUACAAGAGAAAAGUUGACCUGACAUUGAAAUCUAGAGCCCACCUUCUUCAGACACUGGCAGAUGCUAGAGUUG